rnacentral:rRNA from 1 species
GUAGGUGGCAAGCGUUGUCCGGAAUUAUUGGGCGUAAAGCGCGCGCAGGCGGUUCUUUAAGUCUGAUGUGAAAGCCCACGGCUCAACCAUGGAGGGUCAUUGGAAACUGGAGAACUUGAGUACAGAAGAGGAAAGCGGAAUUCCACGUGUAGCGGUGAAAUGCGUAGAGAUGUGGAGGAACACCAGUGGCGAAGGCGGCUUUCUGGUCUGUAACUGACGCUGAGGCGCGAAAGCGUGGGGAGCAAACAGGAUUAGAUACCCUGGUAGUCCACGCCGUAAACGAUGAGUGCUAAGUGUUAGGGGGUUUCCGCCCCCCUUAGUGCUGCAGCUAACGCAUUAAGCACUCCGCCCUGGGAGUACGGCCGCAAGGCUG